CCUACGGGAGGCAGCAGUGGGGAAUAUUGGACAAUGGGGGGAACCCUGAUCCAGCCAUGCCGCGUGUGUGAAGAAGGCCCUCGGGUUGUAAAGCACUUUCAGUGAGGAAGAACGCCUGGUGGUUAAUACCCAUCAGGAAAGACAUCACUCACAGAAGAAGCACCGGCUAACUCCGUGCCAGCAGCCGCGGUAAUACGGAGGGUGCGAGCGUUAAUCGGAAUUACUGGGCGUAAAGCGCGCGUAGGUGGCUUGAUAAGCCGGUUGUGAAAGCCCCGGGCUCAACCUGGGAACGGCAUCCGGAACUGUCAAGCUAGAGUGCAGGAGAGGAAGGUAGAAUUCCCGGUGUAGCGGUGAAAUGCGUAGAGAUCGGGGGGAAUACCAGUGGCGAAGGCGGCCUUCUGGACUGACACUGACACUGAGGUGCGAAAGCGUGGGUAGCAAACAGGAUUAGAUACCCUUGUAGUC
rnacentral:rRNA from 1 species